CCCAGACUCCUACGGGAGGCAGCAGUGGGGAAUAUUGCACAAUGGGGGAAACCCUGAUGCAGCAACGCCGCGUGAGUGAAGAAGUCAUUCGUGAUGUAAAGCUCUAUCAGCAGGGAAGAAAAUGACGGUACCUGAGUAAGAAGCCCCGGCUAACUACGUGCCAGCAGCCGCGGUAAUACGUAGGGGGCAAGCGUUAUCCGGAUUUACUGGGUGUAAAGGGAGCGUAGACGGCAGUGCAAGUCUGGAGUGAAAGGCGGGGGCUCAACCCCCGGACUGCUCUGGAAACUGUACGGCUGGAGUGCAGGAGAGGUAAGUGGAAUUCCUAGUGUAGCAGUGAAAUGCGUAGAUAUUAGGAGGAACACCAGUGGCGAAGGCGGCCUGCUGGACUGCAACUGACGUUGAGGCUCGAAAGCGUGGGGAGCAAACAGGAUUAGAUACCCGAGUAAU
rnacentral:rRNA from 1 species